rnacentral:lncRNA from 1 species
AUGUUUGUAAUGAUUAACAUGAGCCUUAAUGGAUUCAGGAGGCUUGAGAUUACUUGUCCCAGAUGCUGUCCAGUUCCUCAGUUUUAUCAGUCACUUUUCUGUGUGCAGGUGGUCUGGGCAGUGAGCCACGAAGUUGCUGACACUUCGUGUACCCAAGGAGCAGCCAAGAUCCAGGAUCACGGUGUCCGGCUGUCAGCAGAGAGCAGGGAGCAUUCACACAUGAACAAGUCUUCCUUUGAGAACUGGAGGCUGAAGCCUUCCUCAGAUAAAUGCAGGCGUGCAUACAGGAGUAAGGAGCUGCCUGGACCCAGAGGGCUGAGAGGACUGCAGCACAGAGCUGCCUGUGGAUACAUUUGCUGAGCCAUUUCAGGUAUCUCUAGCAUUGAGUACACACACGUACAGACUGGCUUUCCAUUACCUCCCCUAAAAUCUCAUCCUGCUGUCACUGCACUGCUCCUUUCUGUGGCUACUUCCCUUUACAUGCACAGUUGUUGCCAUACAGCAAUUCUUACCAAUGCCUUGCCAAGCCAGAGGUUGCCCUUACACAGCCUCCCAAGGAGCAGUACCUGCUCCACUUUCCUUUGGUCCUUCCAGGCUCUGUAUUGCUCCACCGUGACCCUCAAAACCACUUCAUCCAUUCUUUUUGCUGUUGCUGUUGCUUAUGUUGUUAAUGUUACUGAAGAGCUUAGAUCCACAGUACUGCUGCUCUCCUGCCUGGUGAAUGUGGCAUCCUGCUGCCACUCACUAUUUUACAAGGUUUCUUCUCUGUACAUAAAAACAGCACAAUGACUUCUGCACUGUGCACAACUUGGCACAAGUUGAUCCUGUUGUCAGGGGAAGGGGGGAGAGCUGAACUGAAUAAAAGCAGACCCAUCUCUCA